UGCUGCCCAUGAUGACAAUGAACUAAGCUCUGACCUUGCUGCUCAUCUGUAUGAUCAAGAUGAUACCUCUGCCUUGAGCAGAGUUCUUCAAGAAUUCUGUGAAUGAGUCAAAUAUCUUCAAAAACCAGAUCUUCUCAAAUCAGUAUCUGAUUAUCUGAUUUGGAAGGAAGAGAUUCUGCUUGCCAUCAAGCAAUUCUGUACAGAGGAUAUCCUCAUCAUCAAACCUCUGGAAAAUGUCAGCAAGGAUAUGAAAUGAUACUGAGAGGAACACAACUUCUGACUAUACAAUUUAAUAUAGUCUUCAGUUUCUGUUGAAGUCAAAUCUCUUUUUACUAUACCCCA
rnacentral:sRNA from 2 species